AGUCCUCCAACCCUCUUCCUCAUACAAAUAAAUCAAAACUGGAUUAGAUACAGGCAAGUAUUAGAGGAGUGAAACCAAUGAAAUUUUAUGCCAAUCCAACUGAAAAUCAAUACAUAUAUAAUAUAAAACUUAGAUUAACUUCCAGAAAUAAAAAUAUGAAAUAGUUUUGCACGCAAGGAGUCAUGAAAUUCAGAGCACGGUUAACAAGAAACGGAUAAGCUUUUGUUCUCAGGUAAGAGCAUACAAUCUAACAAUAAACAAACACAUUAUAUACGCAUACAUGCAUACAAUAUGUAUGUAUAAUGGCUCACAUCUACAACAACAUCAACAAAUAAUAAAUAUUAGAAAACCCAUUUAACACUGAUCUUGAUUGAAAAUGGAAAGCCCUCAUUAUUAGACAUAAGAUGCAAAGGUAUCAAAUAACAUACUGGAAAUAAAAGUGUGAUCAUACCUGCUUAACUUGCAUUGAGAGAGU
rnacentral:misc_RNA from 1 species